GUAGGUGGCAAGCGUUGUCCGGAAUUAUUGGGCGUAAAGCGCGCGCAGGCGGUUCUUUAAGUCUGAUGUGAAAGCCCACGGCUCAACCGUGGAGGGUCAUUGGAAACUGGAGAACUUGAGUACAGAAGAGGAAAGCGGAAUUCCACGUGUAGCGGUGAAAUGCGUAGAGAUGUGGAGGAACACCAGUGGCGAAGGCGGCUUUCUGGUCUGUAACUGACGCUGAGGCGCGAAAGCGUGGGGAGCAAACAGGGAUUAGAUACCCUGGUAGUCCACGCCGUAAACGAGGAGUGCUAAGUGUUAGGGGGUUUCCCGCCCCUUAGUGCUGCAGCUAACGCAUUAAGCACUCCGCCUGGGGAGUACGGCCGCAAGGCUG
rnacentral:rRNA from 1 species